rnacentral:lncRNA from 1 species
UCUCCUAUACUAAGCCAGGUGCCUGCUUAUAUGUAUGUUUUUCUAGCAGAUGGAGAUGCCACCACUGAUAGCCAAAACCUUGGAAAAGGCCCAGAGAAGGUCUUACUAAGCUCCUGCAUCCUUCCCCUUCCUUUGAUCAGGAAGCAGAAUCUCCCUGCAUAUCAGAAGAAGGAUACAGUCACCUCUAAACUCAGGAAAAGAAGAUUAACAUAACACAAAGGAAGUCAUUCAUUUAACAGCACAAAUUUGUCAACCAGAAAUGGCAAAUGAUGGACUGAGGAUCAAAUCUAUGCUUCUCCCCUGUUUUCAACUAUAUUUACAACUCUGAUGGGCUGGCCACACUGUUCAAAUGCCAAAUGUAUGCUUGCCAAAAAGACUAUUUUAUGGAGAGCUCACACAGGGCAAGUGCCCACAUGGUGGUCAGAAAAAGUGAUACAAGGACUCUCUCAAGGUCUCUCUUAAGAACUCUGGAAUUGAUUGUGUUCAGUGGGAGACACUGGCACGAGACCGGCAAACAUGUCAUGGCCUAAUCAGAGAAGGUACUGUGCUCUUUGAGCAAAGCAGAAUUGAAGUAGCUCAAGGCAGCCACGUGGUGCAGUGGAUAGAGCACUACCCCUGGAGUCAGGAGGAGCUGAGUUCAAAUCCAGCCUCAGACCACACACAUGACACUUACUAACAGCAUCACCUGGGUAAAUCACUUAAUCCCAAUUGCUUCACCAAGAAAAAAAAAAUGAAGUAGCUCAAAAGAAAUGUGAAACGCACAAAUUUAGAGAAUCCACUCAAAAUGUUCACGUGGGCUGUUUGUACCUGACCUGCGAUAGAGCAUUCCAAGCUCGUAUUGGUCUGAUCAGCCAGAGUCUGACACAUGGUGACUCUAACAUGUGAUAUCAUUUUGGUCCUCUCCAAGAAUGAAGGACAACAACCAACCAAUGUGAAAAAUCAUAUUUAACUCAAGAGUUGUGUACAAAAACAGGUUGUAGGUAGUUGUUUGCCAACUCCUGGUAUAAAUGAAAGGUGAUAUUGUCAUUUUAUUGAAAGAGAAACACAAUGCUAUUUACAUGGUUGACGAUGACAUUAUGAUACUUAGCUAUAUGACCAACAUGGUAGAAGAGCCAAUGAGAAAUAUUGUUGGCCAUCUAUGCAUUUUCCUCAUUACUGGAGAUGGGAAGCACCUUCAUAGUUGGAGGUAAAUGGGCAGAAAUUGGUAACAAUU